rnacentral:misc_RNA from 1 species
AUUCGGUUCGAUUUGAUUCGAUUUAAAUAUAUAAAAUUACUAUUCGGUUUGGUUUGAUCAAUUUUUCUCUUUAAAAUCAAAUCGAACCGAACAGAUUGAACCGAAUUGACUCGGAUCAAUUCGAUUUUUCUAUUCAAACCGAAAUCUGUUCACUCCUACUCACCCCGACUUAUUAGAAAAAAGAUCGGGCCCAGCAAAAUCAGCUCUAGCCAAUCUGCCCGUCCUGCUCAUAUUCAGUACAACACUAUACGUAUGCCGGCACACACACAGCUUCAAAUUACCUUAAGGUGACACGCACAUUGAUUUCAUCAAUGUAAGAAUGCAACACAAGUCAUGCCUAUUAAUAGCUAUAUACAUAUACUUAUAAGUGAUGCAUGGGCAUGCC